AACCUUGCACUGGAGUAUAUCCAUACCUGUGAAGUAAUAACUGAGGCUGGAUUAUUGCUGAUUGAAAACUUUUUACCAAUCACCGCGAGACGACAAACUCUUUGAGGGAGUCGGCUUCGCAAUUUUUGGAACGACCUCUGGUC
rfam:Anaeromyces robustus strain S4 BCR32scaffold_177, whole genome shotgun sequence.